rnacentral:rRNA from 1 species
GUCAUAUGCUUGUCUCAAAGAUUAAGCCAUGCAUGUCUCAGUACAAGCCAAAUUAAGGUGAAACCGCGAAAGGCUCAUUAAAUCAGUUAUGGUUCCUUAGAUCGUACCCACAAUUACUUGGAUAACUGUGGUAAUUCUAGAGCUAAUACAUGCAAACAGAGCUCCGACCGGAGACGGAAGGAGUGCUUUUAUUAGAUCAAAACCAAUCGGUGGCGGGUUUCGGCUCGUUAUCGUACAACUUGGUGACUCUGAAUAACUUUACGCUGAUCGCACGGUCAUCGCACCGGCGACGCAUCUUUCAAAUGUCUGCCUUAUCAACUGUCGAUGGUAGGUUCUGCGCCUACCAUGGUUGUAACGGGUAACGGGGAAUCAGGGUUCGAUUCCGGAGAGGGAGCCUGAGAAACGGCUACCACAUCCAAGGAAGGCAGCAGGCGCGCAAAUUACCCACUCCCGGCACGGGGAGGUAGUGACRAAAAAUAACGAUACGGGACUCAUCCGAGGCCCCGUAAUCGGAAUGAGUACACUCUAAACCCUUUAACGAGGAUCAAUUGGAGGGCAAGUCUGGUGC